GGAAAAGCCCAGAGGAGCCCGCAGCAAGAGACUGACAGGGAGCUGCACGGAGAGACCCAGCGACAGACAGGGAUGCAGAGACAGGGCAGAGUGAGAAGGAGGUGAAGACAGGAGCUCGAGCAGAUGGACAGCAUCAGCGGCAGAGAGAGGUAGAGCCAGUGGACAUGGCAGAGAAGUCCUUUUCCCCCGAGACUGCUCUGUGCCCCCUCCUUCCUCCGUCUCAAGGUCCUCUGGGGCAGGACCCCAACCCUCAGUGACCAGGAAGCAGGUCUGGGGUUCCAGUGACAUCAGCCUUGGAGACUGGAUGCUGUGGUAGGUCGGGCUCCCGCAGUGACCCCCCUGACCCCGUGCCCAUUGGUCUGGAUGGGUCUGGGCUCCCUGCACUGAGCUCCAGGAUCCUGAGGUGCUCGACAAGCACGUGUGGACUUGAGGUACUAGCCCCUCGUUCCAUGGGUGGAUGGGCAAACUGAGGCCCAGGCUAGUGGGUCAGGAUGGCUGCAGGGCUCCCGGGUUGGGGGCAGCAGCGGAUGAAGAACGGAGCACUAAGCUGGGAGCCAGGCCCCGUGUUCUGGCCUGGCUCUACCCGGUGGUGCCCAGCUCUACUCCACACACACAUGGGGGAGGGUGGGACCCUCCCUAAGGCUCCCGCACCCCGACAGGCAUGGAGUCUAUGAAUCACGUGAGAGGAAGUUUUGGAAGAGACCUGUGUUUGAAAGCUGGGACUUUGACGGUUGCCGUGGAAACGGGGCUCAGAGGUGCAGAAGGGCUGUGAGCUCGCCCUGGGUGCCCCAGAUAGCAGGGAGGGCGGCUCCUGCACCCUCCUCCUGGUGGUCUCCGGAGCCCUCUCAGCCCCCGCCACGCAGACCCCUGCAGGGGUGGCUACAGAGGAGGUCCCCAGCACGGGGCUCCCAGGGACACAGCUGACAUUUACUGAGCGCUCAUGGUGCCCUGGCCCAUCAGUGUUGGGCACACAGAAGGAACAGGACGAAUAGCUCACAGGAGAAAACCCUGCCGUCUCCACGACACGCAUCCUCAGGACAGACUGGCUCUGUUGGAACAUGGACGCUUCCUUCACUCAACACACGUGUAGGCCAGGUACUGGGCGACACAGAGACAAACAGGACACAGUCCUCCACUUCCCUCAGGACCCACGGCUGCCCAAGCUGGGCCCUGAGCUUGCAGGCUCUUGUGGGGUUGAUGUGGAAGGCUGCAGACUCCUGGGGAGCAUGUCCAUCCCCAGUGCCCAGGACACUGGUGAGCAAUGGGCUGCAGAGUGAGACAGGAGUCGUAUCAUGAAGGACCUUGAAUAUUUUUGCUGAGGACCUCAGGCUCCAUCUUGUGUGAGAUGGGGAGCCACUGAAGGGUUUUGAGCAGGAGCAUGCCAUGGUCACACCUGUGCCUUAAACACGUCCCUCUGGCUGGCAAGGAGAGGGCGGGUGGUUGGGGGAGAGUCUGAAGGCAGAGAGAUGAGUUGGGGGCUGUGCAAUAAUCCAGGACUAGGCUGUAGCUAUGAGAGUGCUGGCAGGGGGGAGCGGACAGAAUGUGGGAUGUUUACUAGAUCCAGCUGACCAACUGUGGCGCUGGCAGCGGGUGAGGGAGAAAGGAGCAGAGACCCACUCUCAGGUUUCGGCCCAGUAGCUGGCUAGGUGUUCGUGCUGUGUGCAGAGACGGGGACCAACUACAGGAACUGGAUGGGGAGAAAUACUGGGCCUAGUUCUGGAGACAUGGACUUCGAGGUGUCCAAGGGACAUCCAGGUGGGAAUGCCUUGUAACUAAACAGAUGGGGGCGGGAGAAAAAGAUCUGAGCCAAUGGGAUGGAGCCAAGAGUCACGAGGUGGGGUCAAUGCCACAUGUGUGGCUGAACUUGCCCAAAGCGAAAGAGAAGGUCAAGGACAGAGCCUGGGAGAAGCUCGCCUGUGGUGGCUUGUGUGACUGCUCAGCAAAUACCACCCCCUUCUGUGGGGGGCACACUGGGGUUGGGGCUGCCCAUGGGACCUGGGGGCAGAUGUGAUGCUUGCAAGGAUUGGCUUGGCCUCUGGCACUCCUUUCCCUUACCCUGGAAAGAGCACACCAGGCAGCCGCUGCCCUGCAGACUGGGCCCCGGCACGAGAGACCCCCAGAGAAGACCUGAGCUGCACCCUGGAGCAGAGCCGCCCGGAUGCCUGCAGACCUGUGUGGGAGAAAUAAAUGGCUUUUAUUACAAGCCACUGAGAUUUGGGGCUGUUUGUUAUGUAACAUUGUAUCGGCAAUAGCUUGACUAAUAAAAUUUUAAGAGGAGGCUGGAGAAAAAGAAAUCCCGGAAAGGGUAACAGGAAGAAGAAUGGG
rnacentral:lncRNA from 1 species